UACGGGGGGGGCAAGCGUUGUUCGGAAUUACUGGGCGUAAAGGGUCUGUAGGUGGCCAACUAAGUCAGACGUGAAAUCCCUCAGCUUAACUGGGGAACUGCGUCUGAGACUGGAUGGCUCGAGUGCAGGAGAGGAAUGCGGAAUUCCAGGUGUAGCGGUGAAAUGCGUAGAUAUGCGGAGGAACACCGAUGGCGAAGGCAAUCCCCUGGGCCUGCACUGACGCUCAUGCACGAAAGCGUGGGGAGCAAACAGG
rnacentral:rRNA from 1 species